CCAUAGAGUGGGGGGGAACAUGGUUAGAGGGUCUUUCACAUCGUAGCUACGGUCUCUUUGGUGUCGAGCAGCCUAGGUGGAUGCCACCAUUUUACGAAGACGACUGCGAGAAGAAGAAUUACUACAUUACAAGCACGAAGACGACGGAGGAGAGAAAGGAGGAGGAAGGUUAAUCUUGGGAACGUUCCUUCCUCUACUCGUCCUCAACGAGUAUUACGUGUUAAUAAAAAUAUGGCGGGAACUGAAACGCCUAACGUUAAACCUGAUGUUCUAAAUCCAUCAUCCGAGACGAACGAAAAUAAUGCAAGAGAACGAAACGUUCAAGGCGGAGGUGGAAGUGGCGGCGGAGGUGGCGGAGGAAGUGGUGGCGGCGGUGGAGGAGGAGGAGGAGGUGGAGGAAGUGGUGGCGGCGGCGGCGGCGGAAAUAAUCGUGGACCUCGUGGUAGAAAAGGAGGCACAAGAUUUUCUGGUGGACGAGUACCUGGAAUGAUGGGUGGAGGCAGGAACGAUGGACCGAUGAAAAUGAGUGACUCCAUGAUAGAUGGUGGCUUAGACAGUACAAUGUCCGAAGGAAUGGGAAGCAUGGGAGGAAUAGGAGGAAUAGGAGGAUUGGGUGGUAUGGGACCCCGUGGAGGAGGUGGUAUGCGUGGUGGCGGUGGAGGUGGUGGUGGAGGUGGUGGCGGAGGAGGAGGUGGUGGAAGAGGUGGCAGAGGUGGAGGAGAUAGAAAUAUAGGCAAUCGUUCUCAAGAUGAUCGAUUAAUGGAACGAAUAAUGGCUAUAAGUGGUCCUACACAUGAAUUAUCACCUCAAGAAACUGCCGAAAAGAAAUUCAGUGGACGUAAUCGCUUGUACAUUGGUAAUCUUACUAAUGAUGUUACAGAAGAAGAAAUUCAAACAAUGUUUGCACAGUAUGGUGAAAUAUCCGAGUUGUUUGUUAACAAGGAGAAGAAUUUUGCAUUUCUUCGAAUGGAUUAUCGAGUUAAUGCUGAAAAAGCAAAACAUGAAUUAGAUGGUACAAUGCGUAAAGGACGUGCUCUUAAAGUACGAUUUGCACCUCAUUCUUCCACGAUCAAAGUCAAGAAUCUUACUACAUGGAUCUCGAAUGAAUUGUUGGAAAGAGCGUUCAGUGUAUUUGGAGAAAUUGAACGAGCUAUCGUUAUUGUGGAUGAUAGAGGGAAGUCUACUGGUGAAGGUAUUGUUGAGUAUUGUAGAAAACCAUCUGCUCAACUGGCUUUGAGGAAAUGUACAGAGGGAUGUUAUUUUCUUACUGCAUCUCUUCGACCUGUUGUUGUGGAACCUUUUGAACAACAAGAUGAUAUAGAUGGUUAUCCUGACAAGAAUUUACCUCGAAAGAAUCCUGAAUUUUUCAAAGCACGUGAAAUUGGACCAAGAUUCGCGCAAAUAGGUAGUUUCGAACAUGAAUACGGGACGAGAUGGAAACAGUUACAUGAAUUAUACAAACAAAAAGAAGAAGCGUUGAAACGAGAAAUGGCAAUGGAGGAAGAAAAAUUAGAAGCUCAAAUGGAAUUUGCAAGAUACGAGCAUGAAACCGAAUUACUGAGAGAACAAUUACGAAUGCGUGAAGCUGAUAGAGAAAGGCAGAAGAGAGAAUGGGAAAUGAAAGAAAGGCAAGCGGAAGAACAAAGAACGCGUGAAGAGGAAUUAAGGAGACGUCAACAAGAAGAAAUGGCAAUCCGUAUCAGAAGACAAGAAGAAGAAUUGCACAGGCGACAACAAGAAAAUAAUUUGUUCAUGCAGGGCUCUGCUCCUUUUAUUUUUAAGGAGCAAGCGAUGAGAGGCGGUGGUGCAGGAGGUGGGGGCGGUGGAGGUCUCGGUGGUGGAAAGAAUUAUGAUUCCGUUAGUAAUAGUGAUCGCGACGGUUAUGGCCAACCGGACGGAGGAAGCAGCAUGCCAGUGAUUAUUGCAGUUGCUGGUUGAAGAACUGUAAUUCGAUUAUUGUUAGCAAGGUAUACUUAUUGGAAUGAAGAAAUAUAUGAGAUAUAUGAGAAACCAUUAGGAAAAGGGGAAAAAAUUUUUAAAAAAAACUUCGAAUGCUUAUUGGCUCGAAUGAAUCGAGAAAAAACUGGACGUGGAAGGUUUUCAUGAAAAUGAAAGAGAAACAAGAGAAUGCUUGUUGAGUUAACUAAGGGAGGGAAGGUCUCUGCAAUCUCUAUGAAAAUACAGAUAUAUUUCAACUGAAUAAUAAAAAAAUCGUUCGAGAAAAUGAUUUACCUUAGACGAUGCUAAAGAAUGAACAUAUAUAAAUGGACCAAUAAUACGAAGAAAUUAAUAAACCGAAAGAACAGACAGUAUGCGUUGACAAGCGAUCAUGUGAAUCUCGAAAUUCUCAAAUUUCGCUCUUUUAUAGUAACAUAUAUAUAUAAAAUACUUGUAUGUAUUUCAAAUAUGUUCUAUACUGCUGUUACAGCAUUACCUCAUACUAUGAGAAUAAGUUAAACAAAUAUCAAAAUCCUAUCAUAUCUGUGUACUUUUAAAAAUUUCCUAACACUGGGUAUGAUAAUCAUAAGAUAUCGAAUGGAUUAUCAACACGCAACAGUGGUUUAAGAACAACGUAUUACAUUUUUUAAUUUAAUUAUUAUAAAUUAUAUCUUAUUUAUAUCUUAAAAAUCAGAUCUACAUUGAGAAGAAAUGUAAAAGAAAUCUUCUGUACGAGAUUGAAAAACUAAUAGAAUAUAAUGAAAUUAAAUGAAAUAAUUUAGUUGAAAUGACGACGACGAUGUGACCACAAGCCGCGUUGUUAAUGGCCACCACUAUAGAAUAACAAAUAAUAUAACAAAUAAAUGAAAUAUUUUGUUAUACCUUUUUGUACUCCACUUGGAUUUUCCUUUAAUGAUAGGGAAAAUAGAAAAGAGUGACGGGGUAGGAAAGAAGCAAAGGUUUUUCUUUUUUUUAGAUUGAACAAUCAUCGUAAAAUGUUUAUGUCUCGUGAAAAAAGCUUCGACAACAUUUUAUUGUUAACCGCAGAAAAAGCCAUAUACACUUUCACACGAAAUCGAUCAUAGUUCAUAAUAAUAUCGAAAAAUUUACGAUAAUUAAACAUUGUUGUACAUAAAUAUAAA
rnacentral:misc_RNA from 1 species